rnacentral:rRNA from 1 species
CUAUACAUGACUCUGCGCAUAUCAAUAAGCGGAGGAAAAGAAACUAACAAGGAUUCCCUUAGUAACGGCGAGUGAAGCGGGAAGAGCUCAAAUUUGAAAUCUUCAAGGUUCUACCUUGACGAAUUGUAGUUUAUAGAAGUGUUUUCUGUUAGUAGAGUGGCAAAAGUUCUUUGGAAUAGGACAUCAUAGAGGGUGAGAAUCCCGUAUUUGGUCAUUCUUUCUAGCUUUGUGAUACACUUUCAACGAGUCGGAUUGUUUGGGAAUGCAGUCCAAAAUGGGUGGUAAAUUUCAUCUAAAGCUAAAUAUUGGCGAGAGACCGAUAGCGAACAAGUACCGUGAGGGAAAGAUGAAAAGAACUUUGAAAAGAGAGUUAAACAGUACGUGAAAUUGUCAAAAGGGAAGCGUUUGACACCAGUGUUGUUUUUCCGAAAAUCAAUUACGAAUGUCUUGUUUUUGAGGAGUUAUGACUUCAUCGGCUUGCUCCUUUCUUUACGAAACUUUCUUAAUGCACUUUUCGGUUAACAAGUCAAUAUCAAUUUCUUUUGUUGUAAAAAGGUAAGAGGAAGGUGGCUUGCGCUUCGGCUCAAGUGUUUAUAGCCUUUUACCCCUGCAAUCGGAGAGAUUGAGGUCUGCAGCGUAGAUCCUUCGGGGUUAGAUACAUUUGUGCUAAGCUAUAGCCUUGUAUAGACAACUUGUUGACUAUGCUCAGUCAUGUAGCUUACUCGCUUAUGCUAUUUUACCUACGCUUAGGAUGUUGAUAGUCACAGCGUGUAC